rnacentral:rRNA from 1 species
GCUGUCGCUAUGGGGAUGGGCCCCGCGGUGCAUUAGCUAGUUGGUAAGGUAAAGGCGUUACCAAGGGCGAUGAUGCAUAGCCCGAGUUGAGAGACUGAUCGGCCACAUUGGGGACUGAGACACGGGCCCAAACUCCUACGGGAGGCAGCAGUAGGGAAUCUUCCACAAUGGGACGCAAGUCUGAUGGAGCAAACGCCGCGUGAGUGAAGAAGGUUUUCGGAUCGUAAAGCUCUGUUGUUGGUGAAGAAGGAUAGAGGUAGUAACUGGCCCUUUAUUUGACGGUAAUCAACCAGAAAGUCACGGGCUAACUACGUGCCAGCAGCCGCGGUAAAU